AUAAUGAGGACUGGUACUCUUCAUCUCUAAAAGAUGACCUGAAACACUAUGGAAAAGGAAGAUGCAUUACAACACACUAUCAAAGCAUCAUUUUCAGAUACACUGAGUCCAUCUUCUCAUGGACACAAUGACAUAGUGAAGAAACGGCUAUAUAGAGAGAUAAAGAAGCUUGCUCAAGGAUACACAGCUAGAAAGCAAAAGAGUUGGAGUUUGAACUUCUAACUCGAGGUUCUUUCUCUGUGUUUAAUCAGUCAACCACACUGCCUCUUCAGAAGCACGCAUAAUGUAUGCUCUAAAAAGUAAUGUCAAUGUAUUAGGUGUCAAACAGUAAAUGAAAUUUCUCAGAAUACUGCUCUCUACCAUAUCAACAGUAGAUUUAAUACAACCACCAGGCAAAUCAAGCCAAGAAA
rnacentral:lncRNA from 1 species